rnacentral:rRNA from 1 species
GAUGAACGCUAGCGGGAGGCCUAAUACAUGCAAGUCGAACGGUAACAUGGGUAGCAAUACCUGAUGACGAGUGGCGCACGGGUGCGUAACGCGUACACAAUCUGCCUUAUACUGGAGAAUAGCCUCGAGAAAUUGAGAUUAACUCUCCAUAACGUUGCAAAAUGGCAUCAUUUAGCAACUAAAACUCCGGUGGUAUAAGAUGAGUGUGCGUCCGAUUAGCUAGUUGGUGGGGUAAAGGCUCACCAAGGCAACGAUCGGUAGCUGGUCUGA